GACGAACGCUGGCGGCGUGCUUAACACAUGCAAGUCGAACGGAAAGGCCCUGCUUGCAGGGUACUCGAGUGGCGAACGGGUGAGUAACACGUGGGUGAUCUGCCCUGCACUUCGGGAUAAGCCUGGGAAACUGGGUCUAAUACCGGAUAGGAGCCAUUUUUAGUGUGAUGGUUGGAAAGUUUUUUCGGUGUAGGAUGAGCUCGCGGCCUAUCAGCUUGUUGGUGGGGUAAUGGCCUACCAAGGCGGCGACGGGUAGCCGGCCUGAGAGGGUGGACGGCCACAUUGGGACUGAGAGACGGCCCAGACGCCUACGGGAGGCAGCAGUGGGGAAUAUUGCACAAGGGGCGCAAGCCUGAUGCAGCGAGGCCGCGUGGGGGAUGACGGCCUUCGGGUUGUAAACUCCUUUCGCUAGGGACGAAGCUUGUUGUGACGUUACCUAGAGAAGAAGCACCGGCUAACUACGUG
rnacentral:rRNA from 1 species